AGUGAACGCUGGCGGUAGGCCUAACACAUGCAAGUCGAACGGCAGCACAGUAAGAGCUUGCUCUUACGGGUGGCGAGUGGCGGACGGGUGAGGAAUACAUCGGAAUCUACUUUUUCGUGGGGGAUAACGUAGGGAAACUUACGCUAAUACCGCAUACGACCUACGGGUGAAAGCAGGGGGGCUUCGGACCUUGCGCGACUGAAUGAGCCGAUGUCGGAUUAGCUAGUUGGCGGGGUAAAGGCCCACCAAGGCGACGAUCCGUAGCUGGUCUGAGAGGAUGAUCAGCCACACUGGAACUGAGACACGGUCCAGACUCCUACGGGAGGCAGCAGUGGGGAAUAUUGGACAAUGGGCGCAAGCCUGAUCCAGCCAUACCGCGUGGGUGAAGAAGGCCUUCGGGUUGUAAAGCCCUUUUGUUGGGAAAGAAAAGCAGCAGGUUAAUACCCCGCUGUUCUGACGGUACCCAAAGAAUAAGCACCGGCUAACUUCGUG
rnacentral:rRNA from 1 species